rnacentral:rRNA from 1 species
CAGCCCUUGACAUCCCGGUCGCGGUUUCCAGAGAUGGAUUCCUUCAGUUCGGCUGGACCGGUGACAGGUGCUGCAUGGCUGUCGUCAGCUCGUGUCGUGAGAUGUUGGGUUAAGUCCCGCAACGAGCGCAACCCUCGCCCCUAGUUGCCAUCAUUAAGUUGGGCACUCUAGGGGGACUGCCGGUGAUAAGCCGAGAGGAAGGUGGGGAUGACGUCAAGUCCUCAUGGCCCUUACGGGCUGGGCUACACACGUGCUACAAUGGUGGUGACAGUGGGCAGCGAGACCGCGAGGUCGAGCUAAUCUCCAAAAGCCAUCUCAGUUCGGAUUGUUCUCUGCAACUCGAGAGCAUGAAGUUGGAAUCGCUAGUAAUCGCGGAUCAGCAUGCCGCGGUGAAUACGUUCCC